AGGUGUAUCUGCAGCAAAGACUUUUCAGGCUCCUUUCCUGGUUGCUGCACACAAGCCCCGCUCCCAUGGCAGGGGUCCUCCGAGAAGGAGGAACAAACCUAUAGGAGACAGGAAGUCCCUGGAGGCAUCCAAACAGAUGGACAGGAUCUGGAGUGACCUGGAGAGACAACGUGAGAUGGAAGGAAAGCCUGUGCUGAAGGCAGCAUUUCCCAGAGGAAGCAGUGGCUCUAUGGCAGCCUCUGCUGCAGGAAGGGAGGCGAUGCCAGGCACAGGCCCCGGAGAUUGGGAACGUGACUUCCGUCAUUUGUUAAAGCACAGUUUAAGGAUCUUGGAGCUUGGUGGUGGU